AUUGAACGCUGGCGGCAUGCUUUACACAUGCAAGUCGAACGGUAACAGGCCGCAAGGUGCUGACGAGUGGCGAACGGGUGAGUAAUGCAUCGGAACGUGCCCAGUCGUGGGGGAUAACGCAGCGAAAGCUGUGCUAAUACCGCAUACGAUCUAUGGAUGAAAGCGGGGGACCGUAAGGCCUCGCGCGAUUGGAGCGGCCGAUGUCAGAUUAGGUAGUUGGUGGGGUAAAGGCUCACCAAGCCAACGAUCUGUAGCUGGUCUGAGAGGACGACCAGCCACACUGGGACGGAGACACGGGCCAGACUCCUACGGGAGGCAGCAGUGGGGAAUUUUGGACAAUGGGCGCAAGCCUGAUCCAGCAAUGCCGCGUGCAGGAAGAAGGCCUUCGGGUUGUAAACUGCUUUUGUACGGAACGAAAAGGUUUGGGUUAAUACCCUGGGCCGAUGACGGUACCGUAAGAAUAAGCACCGGCUAACUACGUGCCAGCCGCCGCAGUAA
rnacentral:rRNA from 1 species